rnacentral:rRNA from 1 species
UACGAAGGGUGCAAACGUUGCUCAGAAUCAUUGGGCGUAAAGCGCACGUAGGCGGCUUCGCAAGUCGGAUGUGAAAUCCCUCGGCUCAACCGAGGACGUGCAUACGAAACUGCGAAGCUUGAGUACUGAAGAGGAUCGCGGAAUUCCCGGUGUAGAGGUGAAAUGCGUAGAGAUCGGGAGGAACACCAGCGGCGAAGGCGGCGACCUGGACAAGUACUGACACUCAACUACGAAAGCGUGGGGAGCAAACAGG